ACUCCUACGGGAGGCAGCAGUGGGGAAUAUUGCACAAUGGGGCGCAAGCCUGAUGCAGCCAUGCCGCGUGUAUGAAGAAGGCCUUCGGGUUGUAAAGUACUUUCAGCAGUGAGGAAGGUGGGUAUGUUAAUAGCAUAUAUUGCAAUUCGUUAUGCUGCAGAAGAAGCACCGGCUAACUCCGUGCCAGCAGCCGCGGUAAUACGGAGGGUGCGAGCGUUAAUCGGAAUUACUGGGCGUAAAGCGCAUGCAGGUGGUUUGUUAAGUCAGAUGUGAAAGCCCGGGGCUCAACCUCGGAAUUGCAUUUU
rnacentral:rRNA from 1 species